AUUGAACGCUGGCGGCAGGCCUAACACAUGCAAGUCGAGCGAGCGGCGGACGGGUGAGUAAUGUAUGGGGACUGCCCGAUAGAGGGGGAUAACUACUGGAAACGGUGGCUAAUACCGCAUACUAUCGGAUAACCCAUAUGGGAUUAGCUAGUAGGUGGGGUAAAGGGCCACCUAGGCGACGAUCUCUAGCUGGUCUGAGAGGAUGAUUAGCCACACUGGGACUGAGACGCGGUGCCGACUCCUACGGAGGCAGCAGUGGGGAGUAUUACACAAUGGGCGCAAGCCUGAUGCAGCCAUGCCGCGUGUAUGAAGAAGGCCGUAGGGUUGUAGAGUACUUUCAGCGGGGAGGCGUUACCCGCAGAAGGAGCACCGGCUAACUCCGUGCCAGCAGCCGCGGUAAGUC
rnacentral:rRNA from 1 species